CUUUAAGUAUGUUUGUUUUACGUUGCACCAUUAUGCUGUAUGAAAUUAGAUGAUUUCAUACAGCAUAAUGGUGUUUUAAUGUUUCAGGAAUUACGAAAACGAUUUCAAGA
rnacentral:pre_miRNA from 1 species